rnacentral:rRNA from 1 species
UACGUAGGGUGCGAGCGUUAAUCGGAAUUACUGGGCGUAAAGUGUGCGCAGGCGGCAGAGCAAGUCGAGUGUGAAAGCCCCGGGCUUAACUUGGGAAUUGCGCUCGAAACUACUUUGCUGGAGUGUGGCAGAGGAAGGUGGAAUUCCACGUGUAGCGGUGAAAUGCGUAGAGAUGUGGAGGAACACCAAUGGCGAAGGCAGCCUUCUGGGCCAACACUGACGCUCAUGCACGAAAGCGUGGGAGCAAACAG